rnacentral:rRNA from 1 species
AGCGAACGCUGGCGGCGUACUUAACACAUGCAAGUCGAACGCGGAUCAUCCUGUGAGCAAUCAUGAGGUGGUCUGAGUGGCGGACGGGUGAGUAACACGUGGGCAACCUGCCCUCGAGCCCGGGAUACCCUCUCGAAAGGGAGGCUAAUACGGGAUACGUUCCCUGGGUCGCAGGUCCUAGGGAGGAAAGGCGGCGCAAGCGGCCGCUCGAGGAGGGGCUCGCGGCCUANCAGCUAGUUGGUGAGGUAACGGCUCACCAAGGCUAUGACGGGUAGCUGGUCUGAGAGGACGACCAGCCACACGGGAACUGAGACACGGUCCCGACUCCUACGGGAGGCAGCAGUGGGGAAUUUUCCGCAAUGGGCGAAAGCCUGACGGAGUGACGCCGC